GACGAACGCUGGCGGCGUGCUUAACACAUGCAAGUCGAACGGUAAGGCCCCUUCGGGGGUACACGAGUGGCGAACGGGUGAGUAACACGUGAGCAACCUGCCCUUGACUCUGGAAUAACAGUUGGAAACAGCUGCUAAUACUGGAUAUUCAUCGUCUCCUUCUUGGGGGGUGGUGGAAAGCUCCGGCGGUCAGGGAUGGGCUCGCGGCCUAUCAGCUUGUUGGUGAGGUAAUGGCUCACCAAGGCUUCGACGGGUAGCCGGCCUGAGAGGGCGACCGGCCACACUGGGACUGAGAUACGGCCCAGACUCCUACGGGAGGCAGCAGUGGGGAAUAUUGCACAAUGGGCGCAAGCCUGAUGCAGCAACGCCGCGUGCGGGAUGACGGCCUUCGGGUUGUAAACCGCUUUCAGUAGGGACGAAGGGUGACUGACGGUACCUACAGAAGAAGGACCGGCUAACUACGUG
rnacentral:rRNA from 1 species